rnacentral:rRNA from 1 species
AACCGAGAACUCCUACGGGAGGCAGCAGUGGGGAAUUUUGGACAAUGGGGCAACCCUGAUCCAGCAAUGCCGCGUGAGUGAAGAAGGCCUUCGGGUUGUAAAGCUCUUUUGUCAGGGAAGAAACGGUAGUAGCUAAUAUCUAUUACUAAUGACGGUACCUGAAGAAUAAGCACCGGCUAACUACGUGCCAGCAGCCGCGGUAAUACGUAGGGUGCAAGCGUUAAUCGGAAUUACUGGGCGUAAAGCGUGCGCAGGCGGUUGUGUAAGUCAGAUGUGAAAUCCCCGGGCUCAACCUGGGAAUUGCAUUUGAGCCUGAACGGCUAGAGUGUGUCAGGGGGGGUAGAAUUCCACGUGUGGCAGUGAAAUGCGUAGAUAUGUGGAGGAAUACCGAUGGCGAAGGCAGCCCCCUGGGAUAACACUGACGCUCAUGCACGAAAGCGUGGGGAGCAAACAGGAUUAGAAACCCGGGUAGUCCGACUGAGA